UUGUUAUUGAACCAGAGAUACCACAAGCAGCUGCUUUAUCAAUUUGGUAUAAUGCUAAUGCUGAAAAAGCCAUGGACAUAAUAUGUGGAAGGAUUGGUCUUGAGACAAAGUCACUGUCUACACUUCCUUCUGCUGAGGACAUCAUUACCAUUAAGAUGAUAGAUAAUCAACUUAAUACGAGGAGAAGCUUUUGGAUCAAUGGUCACAUCAAAGUGACAAAUUUGAUUCAACCUUUUUGGUACUUAAGCUGUGAAAAAUGCACAAAAGCAACUGGAUAUGAAUUUGAACAGAGGUUUAACUGCUUGUAUUGCAGACAUGAUCAAGUUAAAGCUAUGC